UACGGAGGGUGCAAGCGUUAAUCGGAAUUACUGGGCGUAAAGCGCGCGUAGGCGGUUUGGUAAGUCGGAUGUGAAAUCCCCGGGCUUAACCUGGGAAUUGCAUUCGAUACUGCCAAGCUAGAGUGUGGAAGAGGGAAGCGGAAUUUCCGGUGUAGCGGUGAAAUGCGUAGAUAUCGGAAGGAACACCAGUGGCGAAGGCGGCUUCCUGGUCCAACACUGACGCUGAGGCGCGAAAGCGUGGGUAGCGAACAGG
rnacentral:rRNA from 1 species